UGGGGAAUAUUGGGCAAUGGGCGCAAGCCUGACCCAGCAACGCCGCGUGAAGGAAGAAGGCUUUCGGGUUGUAAACUUCUUUUAUUGGGGACGAAUAGAUGACGGUACCCAUUGAAUAAGCUCCGGCUAACUACGUGCCAGCAGCCGCGGUAAUACGUAGGGAGCAAGCGUUAUCCGGAUUUACUGGGUGUAAAGGGCGUGUAGGCGGGAGUGCAAGUCAGAUGUGAAAACUAUGGGCUCAACCCAUAGCCUGCAUUUGAAACUGUACUUCUUGAGUACUGGAGAGGCAGGCGGAAUUCCGUGUGUAGCGGUGAAAUGCGUAGAUAUACGGAGGAACACCAGUGGCGAAGGCGGCCUGCUGGACAGCAACUGACGCUGAGGCGCGAAAGCGUGGGGAGCAAACAGG
rnacentral:rRNA from 1 species